ACACACGCACACACACACACACACACACACACAGGUGAGUCAAAAAUAAACAGGUGAAGUCCUGCACAGAUGUACAGCUGUAAAAUGAUCCAACCUCCUGAUGUUUCUGACAUUGUCUAAAUGAGCAACAUUCCAGCUGCAGGCGACUGAGUCAGAGGAGAACAGUUAGUUUAUAGGAUAUAAAACCAAAGAAAAACAUCAAGAUUUAAUUCAUAAUCCAUCCAAAAUUUAAAUUUUUUUACUAAAAACAGGUUUCAGAAUGAUCCUCCCCCAAUGAGGCUGUAUCUUCAGGUCCUAUGAGGCCGUAUCUUCAGGUCUAUGAGGCUGUAUCUUCAGGUCCUAUGAGGCCGUAUCUUCAGGUCCUAUGAGGCCGUAUCUUCAGGUCCUAUGAGGCCGUAUCUUCAGGUCCUAUGAGGCCGUAUCUUCAGGUCCUAUGAGGCCGUAUCUUCAGGUCCUAUGAGGCCGUAUCUUCAGGUCCUAUGAGGCCGUAUCUUCAGGUCCUAUGAGGCCGUAUCUUCAGGUCCUAUGAGGCCGUAUCUUCAGGUCCUAUGAGGCCGUAUCUUCAGGUCCUAUGAGGCCGUAUCUUCAGGUCCUAUGAGGCCGUAUCUUCAGGUCCUAUGAGGCCGUAUCUUCAGGUCCUAUGAGGCCGUAUCUUCAGGUCCUAUGAGGCCGUAUCUUCAGAUCCUAUGAGGCCGUAUCUUCCGGUCCUAUGAGGCCGUAUCUUCAGGUCUAUGAGGCCGUAUCUUCAGGUCUAUGAGGCUGUAUCUUCAGGUCCUAUAAUUCAGUAUCUUCAGGUCCUAUGAGACUGUAUCUUCAGCUCCUGUGAGGCUGUAUCUUCAGGUCUAUGAGGCCGUAUCUUCAGGUCUAUGAGGCUGUAUCUUCAGGUCCUAUGAGGCCGUAUCUUCAGGUCCUAUGAGGCUGUAUCUUCAGGUCCUAUGAGGCCGUAUCUUCAGGUCCUAUGACGCUGUAUCUUCAGGUCCUAUGAGGUUGUAUCUUCAGGUCCUAUGAGGCUGUAUCUUCAGGUCCUAUGACGCUGUAUCUUCAGGUCCUAUGAGGUUGUAUCUUCAGGUCCUAUGAGGCUGUAUCUUCAGGUCCUAUGACGCUGUAUCUUCAGGUCCUAUAAUUCAGUAUCUUCAGAUCUAUGAGGCCGUAUCUUCAGGUCCUAUGAGGUUGUAUCUUCAGCAGCCUUUAGCUCCAAUGACCUGCUGUAGAUGGAGGUAUCGUCUCUAACAAGCGUCAGGCAGCUCCUUGGGAAUUUUACUCCAUUCCUCGUGGGUGAUGGUCUCCAUCUCAGCGAUGUUCUCAGGUCUACGUGCUGCAGCAGCUUUCUUCAGAUCCACCACAGGUUCUUCAUUGGGUUUCAGUCUGGAGGUAGUGAUGUCCACUCAAGAACCUUCCAUGCUUUCUUCUCUAACCAGUCUUUGUUGGUUCUGAUGUGUGUUUGGGGUCGUUGUCUUCCUGGAACGUCCAAUUACGCCCAAGCUUCAACUUCUUCAGGGACUGAGGGACGUUCUUGUCCAGAACAUCCUGGUACUUCCUGAAUCCAUGGUGCCUUCAACACGUUGGAGAUUCCUGGUUCCAUCAGAAGCAGAACACCCCCACAGCAUCCCAGAUCCACCACCAUGCUUCACAGUAGGCAGGGUGUUCUUCUCCUCGUAGGCCUCGUUCUU